rnacentral:rRNA from 1 species
UACGAAGGGGGCUAGCGUUGCUCGGAAUCACUGGGCGUAAAGCGCACGUAGGCGGAUCUUUAAGUCAGGGGUGAAAUCCUGGAGCUCAACUCCAGAACUGCCUUUGAUACUGGGGAUCUUGAGUCCGGGAGAGGUGAGUGGAACUGCGAGUGUAGAGGUGAAAUUCGUAGAUAUUCGCAAGAACACCAGUGGCGAAGGCGGCUCACUGGCCCGGUACUGACGCUGAGGCACGAAAGCGUGGGGAGCAAACAGG